rnacentral:rRNA from 1 species
GAUGAACGCUGGCGGCGUGCCUAAUACAUGCAAGUCGAGCGAACAGACGAGGAGCUUGCUCCUCUGACGUUAGCGGCGGACGGGUGAGUAACACGUGGAUAACCUACCUAUAAGACUGGGAUAACUUCGGGAAACCGGAGCUAAUACCGGAUAAUAUAUUGAACCGCAUGGUUCAAUAGUGAAAGACGGUUUUGCUGUCACUUAUAGAUGGAUCCGCGCUGCAUUAGCUAGUUGGUAAGGUAACGGCUUACCAAGGCAACGAUGCGUAGCCGACCUGAGAGGGGGGAGGGCCAAACGGGAGCUGGGACACGGUCCGGGCGACUACGGGAGGAAGCAGUGGGGAAUGUUGGGUAAUGGGCGAAAGCCUGACAGAGUAACGUCGAGUGAGAGAUGAAGGGCUUCGGAUAGUAAAACUCUGUUAUUAGGGAAGAACACAUGUGGAAGUAAAUGUGCACAUCUUGACGGGAACUAAUAAGAAAGCCACGGCUAACUACGUG